GUCCUCCUUCGGGCGGAUUCCGUCUGAAAGACAUGGGUAGUGAGAUGUUCUCACGCUAUCGCGUCUCACUAUCUUGUCUUUCAUCCGGCGUUCGUUCUGC